GACGAACGCUGGCGGCGUGCUUAACGCAUGCAAGUCGAACGAUGAAGCCUAGCUUGCUGGGUGGAAGAGUGGCGAACGGGUGAGUAACACGUGAGCAACCUGCCCCGAACUCUGGGAUAAGCGCUGGAAACGGUGUCUAAUACUGGAUAUGCAUCAGAGCCGCAUGGUUACUGGUGGGAAAGAUUUAUCGGUUCGGGAUGGGCUCGCGGCCUAUCAGCUUGAUGGUGGGGUAAUGGCUCACCAUGGCGACGACGGGUAGCCGGCCUGAGAGGGUGACCGGCCACACUGGGACUGAGACACGGCCCAGACUCCUACGGGAGGCAGCAGUGGGGAAUAUUGCACAAUGGGCGCAAGCCUGAUGCAGCAACGCCGCGUGAGGGAUGACGGCCUUCGGGUUGUAAACCUCUUUUAGUAGGGAAGAAGCGAAAGUGACGGUACCUGCAGAAAAAGCACCGGCUAACUACGUGCCAGCCGCCGCUGUAAUAC
rnacentral:rRNA from 1 species